rnacentral:rRNA from 1 species
AUGCAAGAGUUAGGGCUGAGAGAAGAGGAUCUGGACGAUGUCGUCUUCGAUGAGAAGGAAGCACCACCAGUGGCUGCGCGUUGGGUGGCUUUGGCUAGGGUUCAUACCCCCAAAACCUAUAGCCAGACGUGGUUCUUCUAGAAUAUGAGAUCCGCUUGGGACUUGGCACAAGAGGUCAAGUUCAGACCGCUAGAAGAUAACCCAUACACAGUCCAAUUCUCGUGUCUUGGGGAUUGGGUGAGAGUCAUGAACGAUGGCCCAUGGCACUUCCGAGGGGACGCGGUGAUCCUCAAACCUUAUGAUGGGGUGACAAAGCUAACGACCAUCAAGAUGGACACAAUCGAGAUAUGGGUGGAAAUCCAUGAUGUACCGUAUCUGUAUGCCCAUCUAGUUCCAUCUCUUGCUGCUAAAGUGGGGGAAGUUCUAUUUGCCGAACCCCCGUCGCAAGAUUUCGCGGGAAACUUUUAUCGCGUUUGGGUCAGAAUUGAUGUCACAACGCCACUGAAGAACGCCGUGUCUAUGAUCCGUGAAUCUAAGCACCAGAUUUAUCGAGUGAAAUAUCAGAAGUUGCCAGACUGGUGCGCAGUUUGCGGAAUGCUUGGUCACUUGUUUAAGGAGCAUGGCACAGGAAUACAUCCUCCAUCGGCUCUCGUCUUCAAGGAGUUACGGGCUGACUGGUUUAUGAGAUCUGGCCGAGGUCCAGGUGGUGGCCAAGGUCGUCGGGAGGAAGAAGAGGAGGUCGUCGUAGUGGAGGACGGGGUCCAACCCCUGCACCAGGGACGCAUAAGGAGUUUCAGGAGGAGGGUGAACUAG